AGAAAACAUUACUAAUAAAUAUUCCUGUUUUUGUCCACAUCAAUAUGCAUUUGUUUGGAAAAUUUUUCAGAGUAUUUGUCACAGAGACUUGUCACAAGAUGCAGAGUUUCUACUGGCUUCAAAGAAAACGUUUAACAUGAAAAACACAAACAGAAAUAGAGAAGACUAAGAAUUUGCAUGUUGUGACUACCUGUUUUGUCCUACAUUCUGUUUCCAGAAUUAACUUAGGAAUUGAAAGAACAAAUAAAAGUUUUUGUGAAUCAUUUCCAUUUUUAAGAAGAUAUGGCCAGGCAAAUGUCCACAUAUUUCUCAUCUAUAUUUUGACACUAUGUGGAUUUCCAUCAAGAUAUAGUUUAGCUUCAAAAAUGUGGUUAACUAAGAAAUAGCUGGAGGCUGCUUCAAUAAAUCAGAAAGAUCAAUUUUAAGAGAUAUGUGCGUAUAAUCAAAGCUUGAAAUUCACUUCUACAGGAAAUCAAUAAGCUAUUUUAGAAGCAUUGAAAAGGGAUUUUACACAUAUAUAAAUAAAACUGGCAUUCGUCAUAAUAUUAAAUAGACAAAAGUGACAAGAAUUAUGUAUAUUUGAGCUUUAUGAAAUAAAUUUAAUAUAUGCAAGAUGGAGACAUCUUUCUACAUAUUUUGAAAAACAUUACUUGGUAUGUUAUGGGGUAAAAUCCAGAGAAUAUAUUCUUAUGUGUGUAUGUCUGUGUGUUUGUGAGGAGGGGAGUAUAUUGUGGUCAUUAAGA